rnacentral:rRNA from 1 species
ACAGGGAUUGCCCUAGUAACGGCGAGUGAAGCGGCAACAGCUCAAAUUUGAAAUCUGGCUCUUUCAGGGUCCGAGUUGUAAUUUGCAGAGGGCGCUUUGGCUUUGGCAGCGGUCCAAGUUCCUUGGAACAGGACGUCACAGAGGGUGAGAAUCCCGUACGUGGUCGCUAGCUAUUGCCGUGUAAAGCCCCUUCGACGAGUCGAGUUGUUUGGGAAUGCAGCUCUAAAUGGGAGGUAAAUUUCUUCUAAAGCUAAAUACUGGCCAGAGACCGAUAGCGCACAAGUAGAGUGAUCGAAAGAUGAAAAGCACUUUGGAAAGAGAGUCAAACAGCACGUGAAAUUGUUGAAAGGGAAGCGCUUGCAGCCAGACUUGCUUGCAGUUGCUCAUCCGGACUUUUGUCCGGUGCACUCUUCUGCAGGCAGGCCAGCAUCAGUUUGGGCGGUGGGAUAAAGGUCUCUGUCACGUACCUCUCUUCGGGGAGGCCUUAUAGGGGAGACGACAUACCACCAGCCUGGACUGAGGUCCGCGCAUUUGCUAGGAUGCUGGCGUAAUGGCUGUAAGCGGCCCGUCUUGAAACACGGACCAAGGAGUCUAACAUCUAUGCGAGUGUUUGGGUGUCAAGCCCGAACGCGUAAUGAAAGUGAACGGAGGUGGGAACCCGCAAGGGUGCACCAUCGACCGAUCCUGAUGUCUUCGGAAGGAUUUGAGUAAGAGCAUGGCUGUUGGGACCCGAAAGAUGGUGAACUAUGCUUGAAUAGGGUGAAGCCAGAGGAAACUCUGGUGGAGGCUCGCAGCGGUUCUGACGUGCAAAUCGAUCGUCAAAUUUGGGCAUAGGGGCGAAAGACUAAU